rnacentral:rRNA from 1 species
AAUACAUGCAAGUCGAGCGAACAGAUGAGAAGCUUGCUUCUCUGAUGUUAGCGGCGGACGGGUGAGUAACACGUGGGUAACCUACCUAUAAGACUGGGAUAACUCCGGGAAACCGGGGCUAAUACCGGAUAAUAUUUUGAACCGCAUGGUUCAAUAGUGAAAGACGGUUUCGGCUGUCACUUAUAGAUGGACCCGCGCCGUAUUAGCUAGUUGGUAAGGUAACGGCUUACCAAGGCGACGAUACGUAGCCGACCUGAGAGGGUGAUCGGCCACACUGGAACUGAGACACGGUCCAGACUCCUACGGGAGGCAGCAGUAGGGAAUCUUCCGCAAUGGGCGAAAGCCUGACGGAGCAACGCCGCGUGAGUGAUGAAGGUCUUCGGAUCGUAAAACUCUGUUGUUAGGGAAGAACAAAUUUGUUAGUAACUGAACAAGUCUUGACGGUACCUAACCAGAAAGCCACGGCUAACUACGUGCCAGCAGCCGCGGUAAUACGUAUGUGGCAAGCGUUAUCCGGAAUUAUUGGGCGUAAAGCGCGCGUACGCGGUUUCUUAAGUCUGAUGUGAAAGCCCCCGGCUCAACCGGGGAGGGUCAUUGGAAACUGGGAAACUUGAGUGCAGAAGAGGAGAGUGGAAUUCCAUGUGUAGCGGUGAAAUGCGCAGAGAUGUGGAGGAACACCAGUGGCGAAGGCGGCUCUCUGGUCUGUAACUGACGCUGAUGUGCGAAAGCGUGGGGAUCAAACAGGAUUAGAUACCCUGGUAGUCCACGCCGUAAACGAUGAGUGCUAAGUGUUAGGGGGUUUCCGCCCCUUAGUGCUGCAGCUAACGCAUUAAGCACUCCGCCUGGGGAGUACGACCGCAAGGUUGGAACUCAAAGGAAUUGACGGGGACCCGCACAAGCGGUGGAGCAUGUGGUUUAAUUCGAAGCAACGCGAAGAACCUUACCAAAUCUUGACAUCCUUUGACCGCUCUAGAGAUAGAGUCUUCCCCUUCGGGGGACAAAGUGACAGGUGGUGCAUGGUUG